AUUGAACGCUGGCGGCAUGCUUUACACAUGCAAGUCGAACGGCAGCGCGGGGCAACCUGGCGGCGAGUGGCGAACGGGUGAGUAAUAUAUCGGAACGUACCCAGGAGUGGGGGAUAACGUAGCGAAAGUUACGCUAAUACCGCAUACGACCCAAGGGUGAAAGUGGGGGAUCGCAAGACCUCAUGCUCAUGGAGCGGCCGAUAUCUGAUUAGCUAGUUGGUGAGGUAAAGGCUCACCAAGGCGACGAUCAGUAGCUGGUCUGAGAGGACGACCAGCCACACUGGGACUGAGACACGGCCCAGACUCCUACGGGAGGCAGCAGUGGGGAAUUUUGGACAAUGGGGGCAACCCUGAUCCAGCAAUGCCGCGUGAGUGAAGAAGGCCUUCGGGUUGUAAAGCUCUUUUGUCAGGGAAGAAACGGCUGUGGCUAAUAUCCACGGCUAAUGACGGUACCUGAAGAAUAAGCACCGGCUAACUACGUGCCAGCCGCCGCGGUAAUAC
rnacentral:rRNA from 1 species